ensembl:processed_transcript B230206H07Rik RIKEN cDNA B230206H07 gene
AAAUCUACCCAACCUACGGACAGACCCUCUUCAGCUGGGUUCCCACAGGUCUCAAAGAAGAAAGAAUACAGCAUACUCUAUACCAGCAGGUCACCCAAGGCCUCCUGUCCUGGAGCCCCUGACCAGGUUGUUCCUGGGAUGCUAGCAGCGUGAAGGGAGUGGGCAAAUAUGUAGGCAAGGACACCAGGCUGGUCAGCUGAGGGCUCAGGCCCAUCCUGCAAUUGGGGUACAGCGGAUGCAGGGAAACGUGAAUGUAGAAACAAGCAACACAAGGGAGAGCUGCAGAGUCGGGCCCAGCAUCGUAAGGAACAAGGACCUUCAUGUGCACCAAGAAGACCAGGGGAAGAGGCCUUGCCCACCGGGAGAGUCCUGGGGCCUUGGCAGCAGGUUGAGAAGGGACUGGCACUGCCAGGUACAGGUUUGGCUGAGGCUGGCCUUGGUUUUGGAAGAAGAGUAUUGGGUUGGGGGUAGGGCUCGGGUGGCAAAAGAGCUACCCACAGGUGUAGCUAGGCUCAUACACAGGACUCUGCCUGGAGGGCAGGUAAGCCAGUUACACCCAGCCCAUCUAUGUCCUUGGUAUAAAAUAAUACACAUAUAAAAAUAAUACUCCAUGCAUUUGGGUUGGGCCCAUUACAGGUGCGGCGCCCCCUCUGACUCUGGUGAAGUGUGUUGGCUGGUAUAGCUGUCCUCGGCCCUCCUGAUCUUGCUCAUGAGCUUCUCCAGUUCUGACCCACUUUGUUGUUUCUAGGAAAAAGAGAUUGGACCUCAGCCGGGAGGUUGGGGAAUAGAGAGGGUACAGGACAGGGCCCUGCUGUUUCCUGUUUUUCCAGUGACCCCAGGUACAGGUGCUUAUGCCUAGGAAGGAAUUCAGAAGCAGGCAGGAGCUGCUCACCUCCAGGAAGGCCUUCUGAACCGUGAGCUGGCUGUACACGCGACUGCCCUCUUCCCCGCACACUUUUUUCAGUUCCUCCUUGUUGAGGGAGAAGAGCUGGGGUCCAGUUAAGAUACCCAGGUUCUCCACAAUCCUAGGGGCAGGUGGGUGUGAGGGCGGGGCCGUGGGCGGGACACUGUCCUCCAGGCUCCGCCCCACCGGCUGUACACACGGGGCUCACCUGGCACUGAAGGCCUUGGCUUCCAGCCAGGCGCGGACCUCAUCCGGACCUGACUCGAAGGUAAGCGGCAGGUGCACUGGCUGGCUGCGCUCCACGCGGAAGUUGCGCUGCGGCUGUGUCUUGAUGUGGCUGAUCUUUUUCAUGAGCUCGUCAUUGACCUCGUCCAUGUGGUGGAUUAGCUCUGUGGGGCGCACGCUCUCAGCCCCUUCACUCGGACCGUUCUCUGCCUCUUCCCCACCCUCCACAUCCUAUCACUGCCCUCCCCUACCCCUCCCCGCACUUCUAACCCCAAAGUGGAUCUACUCACCUUCUUUGUUCCCUGCGAAAAUUGGGGGCAGUUUGUGGGUGGGGCUGGCUGGACCCCAGUAUUUCUGGCCAGACUGCAAGGAGUGAGGAAGAGGUGAGGGGUAAGGUGAGAGGGGGGGCUAUUAUAUAAGGACUUACCCAGGACCCCAGAUGGAUGGGCCAGCCCUUUCUUCCCUUGAGUAAGACCCCAGGAACCCACACAGCCCUUGGCCCAGCUUGGGGGCAGCAGGUUUCCGGGGAUCAGGUUCAAAUAUCACAUUGAGACCAGCUGCACCCCUGACCUUAGGGGCUCUGACUGUGUUGUAGACAGAAUGGAGCCGUGGCAGGCGAUCACCUGUUCCAAGGGGGCACCCAUGUCCUCCUGCCGAGCUUCAGCUAGGAUGUUGCAGGGCACAUAGCCCGCCUGGCCACUGCGAUUUCGUAGCUUCCACCACUGCCGGCCAUCCUCCAGCACCUGCCAAGUGUCCAGAUGUCUGUGAGACUCACCAACAUCCUCGUGCAGACCUCAAGUACUAUUAGAGUCAGAUGCUGGGGACACUUGCCAAACCCUUCACAGAGGGCCAAAGCAUUGUCCAGGACCUCGUCCUUGAGCACAGAUAGCUCAUUGGCGUUUCGCGCUGUGAAAUCAUAGAGGAUCUUGACGUACUUGGUCAUGGCUGGUGUUGGCUGGUAGCCCCUGCAGGACCAGGAAGAGUUGAGACCCAGGGCUGGAUGGAAGUCUCUUCCUGCUUCCCAGCUGCAGCUGCCUCCUGUUCUGCUGCCCAGGUUGCAGUGAAGAGAGGCUGUGCUUCUCAGCCAGGAGUGGAAACUGUGACACUCCAGCAGGCGGGGGUNNNNNNNNNNNNNNNNNNNNNNNNNNNNNNNNNNNNNACGGGACUCCAAGAGGCUGGCCCAGCUCAAACUAUCUUGGGGAGUCUCUUGCCCUGCUCCUCAGAGGGACUAGAGCAAGAGGUGUGCCUAGGGAGUGACAGGGUCACAUGUUCCCAGUUGACCACUGGGCUAGGGUUAGGAGAUUUUCAGUUACAGCCCCUUAGAGAUAUUAUGUGUCCUUUCUGGAAGUCCCCUUGCAUCUCUGGAGCAGGGGUGAGCUCUGGCUAAUGGUUUCCCCCCUAGCCAGGUCAUGUUCCUGGUCAGUGUGGCACUGGAGAGGGAGGAGGGGUGGGGGAUCCAGGUCUGUGCCCAGUGUAUUGAUAGGCUGAGAAUGUCCCAUACAUAUGAUCCCAGUAGGGACACUGGAUAGCAAGCUAAAGAAGCCCAAGGAGAGGGGUUCACUUUGAAAAGGAGCCGUAGGGUACGAGUAAGAACCAGAGGAGGGGGGAGGUAAGAGGGAUACCUCCAUGUCUUGGGCUUCUGUUUAACUCACGGGGAGUGUGGGAUGCUUAGUGGGGGAGGGGAUAAUCAGAGCCCCUUGUCUGAAUCCCCAGCAGCACCAUAGUGGGUGGUGCUUGGAGGAGUCGCUGGUGGUGUUUGUUUCUUUCUUUCCUUUUUUGGUUCAGUGAGUUUCUAACCUUGAUUUUAAUUAUUUAAAAAUUUGACAGCGUCUCACUAUGCAGCCAUUGACUGCCUGAGACUCACAGAGAUCUGUCUGCCUCUGCCUCCUGAGUCCUGGGACCAAAGGUGUGGGCUUCCACAUCCAAUCUCUGUCCCUUUCUAACAUUGAUUAUGAAACAAGAAAGUAUAGAAAGAAGUAAUGUAGCCAGGCAACCAGCACUCAGAAGGCAGAGGCAGGCAGAUCUCUGACUUCAAGGCCAACAUGGUCUACACAGAGAGUUCCAGGACAGCCAGAGGGCUACACAGAGAAACCCUGUCUCAAAAAAGAAAAAAAGAAAAAAAGAAAAAAAGAAAGG